GGGAACUUGACCGCAAGACUUUGGGGGAUGCCCUUCUGUCACUGCCUCUCGCCUCUACGAUCUGUGUAAGAUCUGUUUCUCCUGUGAAGACACCAGGGGCCAUUGUCACAAAACAUGAAAACUACGCUUACAAGGCAGGCCUUCUCAGAUCUGCUUGAUGUCAGCGUGAAUUGUCGCCCAGGCUCCACGGACAUGCAGGUUGUACACAUGUGGCAGUUUUUCUCUCGACGUCCCAUGCUUUGAUCCGCUGACACCAUCUGCCA
rnacentral:lncRNA from 1 species